rnacentral:misc_RNA from 1 species
GAAAUGCGAUAAGUAAUGUGAAUUGCAGAAUUCAGUGAAUCAUCGAAUCUUUGAACGCACAUUGCGCCCCCUGGUAUUCCGGGGGGCAUGCCUGUUCGAGCGUCAUUUCACCACUCAAGCCUCGCUUGGUAUUGGGCGACGCGGUUCGCCGCGCGCCUCAAAUCGACCGGCUGGGUCUUCCGUCCCCUCAGCGUUGUGGAAACUAUUCGCUAAAGGGUGCCGCGGGAGGUCACGCCGCAAAACAACCCCAUUUCUAAGGUUGACCUCGGAUCAGGUAGGGAUACCCGCUGAACUUAAGC